rnacentral:rRNA from 1 species
GAUGAACGCUGGCGGCGUGCCUAAUACAUGCAAGUCGAGCGAACAGACGAGGAGCUUGCUCCUCUGACGUUAGCGGCGGACGGGUGAGUAACACGUGGAUAACCUACCUAUAAGACUGGGAUAACUUCGGGAAACCGGAGCUAAUACCGGAUAAUAUAUUGAACCGCAUGGUUCAAUAGUGAAAGACGGUUUUGCUGUCACUUAUAGAUGGAUCCGCGCCGCAUUAGCUAGUUGGUAAGGUAACGGCUUACCAAGGCAACGAUGCGUAGCCGACCUGAGAGGGUGAUCGGCCACACUGGAACGGAGACACGGUCCAGACUCCUACGGGAGGCAGCAGUAGGGAAUCUUCCGCAAUGGGCGAAAGCCUGACGGAGCAACGCCGCGUGAGUGAUGAAGGUCUUCGGAUCGUAAAACUCGGUUAUUAGGGAAGAACAAAUGUGUAAGUAACUAUGCACGUCUUGACGGUACCUAAUCAGAAAGCCACGGCUAACUACGUG